rnacentral:rRNA from 1 species
CCUACGGGAGGCAGCAGUGGGGAAUUUUGGACAAUGGGCGCAAGCCUGAUCCAGCAAUGCCGCGUGCAGGAUGAAGGCCUUCGGGUUGUAAACUGCUUUUGCACGGAACGAAACGGCUCCUAUUAAUACUGGGGGCUAAUGACGGUACCGUAAGAAUAAGCACCGGCUAACUACGUGCCAGCAGCCGCGGUAAUACGUAGGGUGCGAGCGUUAAUCGGAAUUACUGGGCGUAAAGCGUGCGCAGGCGGUUAUAUAAGACAGAUGUGAAAUCCCCGGGCUCAACCUGGGACCUGCAUUUGUGACUGUAUAGCUAGAGUACGGUAGAGGGGGAUGGAAUUCCGCGUGUAGCAGUGAAAUGCGUAGAUAUGCGGAGGAACACCGAUGGCGAAGGCAAUCCCCUGGACCUGUACUGACGCUCAUGCACGAAAGCGUGGGGAGCAAACAGGAUUAGAUACCCUGGUAGUCCACGCCCUAAACGAUGUCAACUGGUUGUUGGGUCUUCACUGACUCAGUAACGAAGCUAACGCGUGAAGUUGACCGCCUGGGGAGUACGGCCGCAGGUUGAACGUCGAAAGGAAUUGACGG